GUUUUGGAACAGGCAAUAGCUCAGGGGUAGAGUGUCUGCUUUGAAUGACACAGAAGGUUCUGGGUUCAAACCCUGACACCUCCAGGUAGGACU